rnacentral:rRNA from 1 species
CACGUAGGGUGCGAGCGUUGUCCGGAAUUAUUGGGCGUAAAGAGCUCGUAGGCGGUGUGUCGCGUCGGCCGUGAAAACCUGCAGCUCAACUGUGGGCUUGCGGUCGAUACGGGCAUCACUGGAGUUCGGCAGGGGAGACUGGAAUUCCUGGUGUAGCGGUGAAAUGCGCAGAUAUCAGGAGGAACACCGGUGGCGAAGGCGGGUCUCUGGGCCGAUACUGACGCUGAGGAGCGAAAGCGUGGAGAGCAAACAGG